rnacentral:rRNA from 1 species
CAGCAGCCGCGGUAAUACAGAGGGUGCGAGCGUUAAUCGGAUUUACUGGGCGUAAAGCGUGCGUAGGCGGCUAAUUGAGUCGGAUGUGAAAUCCCCGAGCUUAACUUGGGAAUUGCAUUCGAUACUGGUUAGCUAGAGUGUGGGAGAGGAUGGUAGAAUUCCAGGUGUAGCGGUGAAAUGCGUAGAGAUCUGGAGGAAUACCGAUGGCGAAGGCAGCCAUCUGGCCUAACACUGACGCUGAGGUACGAAAGCAUGGGGAGCAAACAGGAUUAGAUACCCGAGUAGUCCCUGUCUCUUAUAC